UACGUAGGGGGCAAGCGUUGUCCGGAUUUAUUGGGCGUAAAGAGCUCGUAGGCGGUUUGGUAAGUCAGGUGUGAAAUCUCCACGCUCAACGUGGAGGGGCCACCUGAUACUGCCAUGACUGGAGUCCGGUAGAGGAGUGUGGAAUUCCAGGUGUAGCGGUGAAAUGCGUAGAUAUCUGGAGGAAUACCGGUGGCGAAGGCGGCAUCCUGGACCGGCAUUGACGCUGAGGAGCGAAAGCCAGGGGAGCAAACGGG
rnacentral:rRNA from 1 species